rnacentral:rRNA from 1 species
UGCCAGCCGCCGCGGUAAUACGGAGGGUGCGAGCGUUAAUCGGAAUUACUGGGCGUAAAGCGUGCGCGGGCGGCUUUUUAAGACAGGUGUGAAAUCCCCGGGCUUAACCUGGGAAUGGCGCUUGUGACUGGAAGGCUAGAGUGCGGCAGAGGGGGAUGGAAUUCCUGGUGUAGCGGUGAAAUUCGUAGAUAUCAGGAGGAACACCGAUGGCGAAGGCAUCUCUCUGGGUCGAUAUUGACGCUGAGGCGCGAAGGCGUGGGUAGCGAACGGGAUUAGAUA